UAAUGGGCAUGGGUGAGGCCAGGCGUGGUGUUCUGUAUUGGAGCCCAAGUUUUGAGCACAUGGAGUUUCCAGGGAAGUAAGAGCACCCAGCAAUCUCUCCAGGGAAGGCACCUCAUACACUCAUGCUCCGACCCUGUGCCUCAGCAAGAAUUUGAACUCCUGGAAGUCAAGGACCAUGUCUGCAUUCAUUUCUGCCUCCCCAGAGCCUUGUAUCAACACAUAGUGGAUAUUCCAUGACUGUUAGGAAUGGAUGGAUGAACAGACAAAUAGAUGAAUAAGAUGAAUGAGUAAAGAAUAAAAAUGCAGGUUCCCACACAAGUAGGGUGCUCUGAUUUGAAUGGCAAGUAUCCCCUAAAGAGGUUCAUGCACUGAAGCUUAGACCACAGCUGGUUGUGCUAUUCUGGUAGGUUCUAGAAGACUUAGGACCUAGCUGGAAGAAGUAGGUUAAAAUGGUCACGCUCUUGAGAGCCGUAACUUGUCCCAAACCUCUACCUCACUUCUGCUUUCUGGGCACAUGUUUCUACCAUCGUGAUACACUGCUUCACUCCAGGCCGAGAAACACAGAACCAGGUGGAUUAGAACUUGAGCUCAGAGCUAAAACUGCAUCCCAGAGGCUCUAACCCAGGAAACCAUGAAGACAUUUUUUCAAGUACCAUUGGUAAAAUGUAAUCUCAAAAGUAUAUAUCAUAUCGUAUUUUUUUUGCCUGACUUCAAGAGCAUAUUGUUAAUCAGUCUCAGAAUCAUGUUAGAUAAACAUUGCUUGCUGUGUUUAA